rnacentral:tRNA from 1 species
GGUGGCUCAGUGGUAGAGUGCUUGCCUCGCAUGCAUGAGGCUGAGUUCGAUUCCUCAGCACCA